GACGAACGCUGGCGGCGUGCUUAACACAUGCAAGUCGAACGGAAAGGCCCCUUUGGGGGUACUCGAGUGGCGAACGGGUGAGUAACACGUGAGUAACCUGCCCUUGACUUCGGGAUAACUUCAGGAAACUGGGGCUAAUACCGGAUAGGAAUCCUUGCUGCAUGGUGGGGGUUGGAAAGCUUCGGCGGUUUUGGAUGGACUCGCGGCUUAUCAGCUUGUUGGUGGGGUAGUGGCUUACCAAGGCUUUGACGGGUAGCCGGCCUGAGAGGGCGACCGGCCACAUUGGGACUGAGAUACGGCCCAGACGCCUACGGGAGGCAGCAGUGGGGAAUAUUGCACAAUGGGCGGAAGCCUGAUGCAGCAACGCCGCGGGCGGGAGGACGGCCUUCGGGUUGGAAACCGCUUUCAGCAGGGGCGAAGCUUGUGGUGACGGUACCUGCAGAAGAAGCACCGGCUAACUACCUG
rnacentral:rRNA from 1 species